AGAGUUUGAUCAUGGCUCAGAAUCAACGCUGGCGGCGUGCCUCAGACAUGCAAGUCGAACGCGAAAGUCUCCUUCGGGGGAUGAGUAGAGUGGCGCACGGGUGAGUAACACGUAGGUAAUCUACCUUCGGGUGGGGAAUAACCCAGGGAAACUUGGGCUAACACCGCAUAAUGCAGCGGCACCACAUGGUGACAGUUGUUAAAGCGGGGGAUUUUCGGACCUCGCGCCUGAAGAGGAGCCUGCGGCAGAUUAGCUUGUUGGUAAGGUAACGGCUUACCAAGGCGACGAUCUGUAGCCGGCCUGAGAGGGCGGUCGGCCACACUGACACUGACAUACGGGUCAGACUCCUACGGGAGGCAGCAGUCGGGAAUUUUGGGCAAUGGGCGAAAGCCUGACCCAGCAACGCCGCGUGAAGGAUGAAAUCCCUCGGGAUGUAAACUUCGCAAGAGUGGGAAGAAUUAGUAGGGGUUAAUACCCCCUAUGAUGACGGUACCAUUUGUAAGCUCCGGCUAACUCCGUGCCAGCAGCCGCGGUAAUACGGGGGGAGCAAGCGUUGUUCGGAUUUACUGGGCGUAAAGGGCGCGUAGGCGGCCAGCACAAGUCAGUUGUGAAAUCUCCGGGCUUAACUCGGAAAGGUCAACUGAUACUGUGCGGCUAGAGUGCGGAAGGGGCAACUGGAAUUCUCGGUGUAGCGGUGAAAUGCGUAGAUAUCGAGAGGAACACCUGCGGCGAAGGCGGGUUGCUGGGCCGACACUGACGCUGAUGCGCGAAAGCCAGGGGAGCGAACGGGAUUAGAUACCCUAGUAGUCC
rnacentral:rRNA from 1 species